rnacentral:rRNA from 1 species
CCGCUGAACUUAAGCAUAUCAAUAAGCGGAGGAAAAGAAACCAACAGGGAUUGCCCUAGUAACGGCGAGUGAAGCGGCAACAGCUCAAAUUUGAAACCUGGCGCUUGCGUCCGGAUUGUAAUUUGUAGAGGAUGCUUCUGGGCAGCGGCCGGUCUAAGUUCCUUGGAAAAGGACGUCAUAGAGGGUGAGAACCCCGUAUGUGACCGGCGCGCACCCUCCACGUAGCUCCUUCGACGAGUCGAGUUGUUUGGGAAUGCAGCUCUAAAUGGGAGGUAAAUUUCUUCUAAAGCUAAAUAUUGGCCCGAGACCGAUAGCGCACAAGUAGAGUGAUCGAAAGAUGAAAAGCACUUUGGAAAGAGAGUUAAAAAGCACGUGAAAUUGUUGAAAGGGAAGCGUUUCCCACCAGACUCCGCGGCGGUGUUCCGCCGGUCUUCUGACCGGUCUACUCGCCGCCGUGGGGCCAGCAUCGUCUGGGGCCGCCGGAUAAGACCGUAGGAAUGUAGCUCAUUGAGUGUUAUAGCCUGCGGGGAUGCGGCGCGUCCCGGGCGAGGUCCGCGCUUCGGCAAGGAUGCUGGCGUAAUGGUGGGCAACGGCCCGUCUUGAAACACGGACCAAGGAGUCUAACAUCUAUGCGAGUGUUCGGGUGUCAAACCCCUACGCGUAAUGAAAGUGAACGGAGGUGGGAGCUUCGGCGCACCAUCGACCGAUCCUGAUGUCCUCGGAUGGAUUUGAGUAAGAGCAUAGCUGUUGGGACCCGAAAGAUGGUGAACUAUGCCUGAAUAGGGUGAAGCCAGAGGAAACUCUGGUGGAGGCUCGCAGCGGUUCUGACGUGCAAAUCGAUCGUCAAAUUUGGGCAUAGGGGCGAAAGACUAAUCGAACCAUCUAGUAGCUGGUUCCUGCCGA